rnacentral:rRNA from 1 species
UGGGGAAUAUUGGGCAAUGGGGCGCAAGCCUGACCCAGCAACGCCGCGUGAAGGAAGAAGGCUUUCGGGUUGUAAACUUCUUUUGUCAGGGACGAGUAGAAGACGGUACCUGACGAAUAAGCCACGGCUAACUACGUGCCAGCAGCCGCGGUAAUACGUAGGUGGCAAGCGUUGUCCGGAUUUACUGGGUGUAAAGGGCGUGUAGGCGGGAGAGCAAGUCAGAAGUGAAAUCCAUGGGCUUAACCCAUGAACUGCUUUUGAAACUGUUCUUCUUGAGUAUCGGAGAGGCAGGCGGAAUUCCUAGUGUAGCGGUGAAAUGCGUAGAUAUUAAGGAGGAACACCAGUGGCGAAGGCGGCCUGCUGGACGACAACUGACGCUGAGGCGCGAAAGC